AUUGAACGCUGGCGGCAUGCCUUACACAUGCAAGUCGAACGGCAGCACGGGAGCAAUCCUGGUGGCGAGUGGCGAACGGGUGAGUAAUAUAUCGGAACGUGCCCAGUCGUGGGGGAUAACGCAGCGAAAGCUGUGCUAAUACCGCAUACGAUCUACGGAUGAAAGCGGGGGCUCGCAAGACCUCGCGCGAUUGGAGCGGCCGAUAUCAGAUUAGCUAGUUGGUGGGGUAAAGGACCACCAAGGCGACGAUCUGUAGCUGGUCUGAGAGGACGACCAGCCACACUGGAACUGAGACACGGUCCAGACUCCUACGGGAGGCAGCAGUGGGGAAUUUUGGACAAUGGGCGCAGGCCUGAUCCGGCAAUGCCGCGUGCAGGAUGAAGGCCUUCGGGUUGUAAACUGCUUUUGUACGGAACGAAACGGCCCUUUCUAAUACAGGGGGCUAAUGACGGUACCGUAAGAAUAAGCACCGGCUAACUACGUGCCAGCAGCCGCCGUAACAC
rnacentral:rRNA from 1 species